GACGAACCGUGCGAACGUUGUUCGGAAUCACUGGGCUUAAAGGGCGCGUAGGCGGCUUGCCAAGUCCGGGGCGAAAUCCUCCAGCUUAACUGGAGAAGUGCCCUGGAUACUGGCGAGCUCGAGCGAGGCAGGGGUUGUGGGAACUUCCGGUGGAGCGGUGAAAUGCGUUGAUAUCGGAAGGAACGCCGGUGGCGAAAGCGCACAACUGGUCCUCUUCUGACGCUGAGGCGCGAAAGCCAGGGGAGCAAACGGG
rnacentral:rRNA from 1 species